rnacentral:rRNA from 1 species
GACGAACGCUGGCGGCGUGCCUAAUACAUGCAAGUCGAGCGAAGUUUUUCUGGUGCUUGCACUCGAAAAACUUAGCGGCGAACGGGUGAGUCACACGUAAAGAACCUGCCUCAUAGACUGGGACCACUAUUGGAAACGAUAGCUAAUACCGGAUAACAGCAUUAACUGCAUGGUUGAUGUUUAAAAGUUGGUUUUGCUAACACUAUGAGAUGGCUUUGCGGUGCAUUAGCUAGUUGGUGGGGUAAAGGCCUACCAAGGCGACGAUGCAUAGCCGACCUGAGAGGGUGAUCGGCCACACUGGAACUGAGACACGGCCCAGACUCCUACGGGAGGCAGCAGUAGGGAAUCUUCCGCAAAGGGCGAAAGCCUGACGGAGCAACGCCGCGUGAGUGAAGAAGGACUUCGGUUCGUAAAGCUCUGUUGUUAGGGAAGAAUGAUUGUGUAGUAACUAAACACAGUAGAGACGGUACCUAAUCAGAAAGCCACGGCUAACUACGUG